rnacentral:rRNA from 1 species
GUAACGGCGAGUGAAGCGGCAAAAGCUCAAAUUUGAAAUCUGGUACCUUUGGUGCCCGAGUUGUAAUUUGUAGAGUACCACUUUGGGACUAUACUUUGCCUAUGUUCCUUGGAACAGGACGUCAUGGAGGGUGAGAAUCCCGUAUGGCGAGGGUGUUAGUUCUUUGUAAAGGGUGCUCGAAGAGUCGAGUUGUUUGGGAAUGCAGCUCUAAGUGGGUGGUAAAUUCCAUCUAAAGCUAAAUACAGGCGAGAGACCGAUAGCGAACAAGUACAGUGAUGGAAAGAUGAAAAGAACUUUGAAAAGAGAGUGAAAAAGUACGUGAAAUUGUUGAAAGGGAAGGGCAUUUGAUCAGACAUGGUGUUUUGCGCCCCUCGCUCCUUGUGGGUGGGGGACUCUCGCAGCUCACUGGGCCAGCAUCAGUUUUUGCGGCAGGACAAAACCUUGGGAAUGUAGCUGUGCGCCUCGGUGUACAGUGUUAUAGCUCUUGGGAAUACUGCCAGCGGGGACUGAGGACUGCGAUACUUGUUAUCUAGGAUGCUGGCAUAAUGGUUAUAUGCCGCCCGUCUUGAAACACGGACC